UACGUAGGGUGCAAGCGUUAAUCGGAAUUACUGGGCGUAAAGCGUACGCAGGCGGCUUUGCAAGACAGGUGUGAAAUCCCCGGGCCUAACCUGGGAACUGCAUUUGUGACUGCAUGGCUAGAGUCUGUCAGAGGGGGGUGGAAUUCCACGUGUAGCAGUGAAAUGCGUAGAGAUGUGGAAGAACACCGAUGGCGAAGGCAGCCCCCUGGGAUGAGACUGACGCUCAUGUACGAAAGCGUGGGGAGCAAACAGG
rnacentral:rRNA from 1 species